rnacentral:rRNA from 1 species
CCUACGGGUGGCAGCAGUGAGGAAUAUUGGUCAAUGGACGAGAGUCUGAACCAGCCAAGUAGCGUGAAGGAUGACUGCCCUAUGGGUUGUAAACUUCUUUUAUAUGGGAAUAAAAUGUUCCACGUGUGGGAUUUUGUAUGUACCAUAUGAAUAAGGAUCGGCUAACUCCGUGCCAGCAGCCGCGGUAAUACGGAGGAUCCGAGCGUUAUCCGGAUUUAUUGGGUUUAAAGGGAGCGUAGGUGGAUUGUUAAGUCAGUUGUGAAAGUUUGCGGCUCAACCGUAAAAUUGCAGUUGAUACUGGCAGUCUUGAGUACAGUAGAGGUGGGCGGAAUUCGUGGUGUAGCGGUGAAAUGCUUAGAUAUCACGAAGAACUCCGAUUGCGAAGGCAGUUCACUGGACUGCAACUGACACUGAGGCUCGAAAGUGUGGGUAUCAAACAGGAUUAGAUACCCUAGUAGUC